rnacentral:lncRNA from 1 species
GACUCUGCUGCUCCAUGAAAUUUUAGGACUUAUUGCUAUUGUUGAAUCAGGUGACUAAUUUCAGGGAUCUAAAAAGGCCUUAUGAUCCAUCAUCUUUUCCUUCAUCUGCCCACAAUCCCCCAGCAUUGGCCAACAUGGCAAACUCCCAUCUGAGUACCUUGGAACUUAAUCAGUGUGGGGCAGAGAACCUGGAACGGAUAGGCUGUCCGGGGACAGUGACAGGACGGCUGAGGGGAGAGAAAGGAGACAGGCCAGCUGUUUCCUGACGCCCUUGCUCAGUACAAGCACUGAACCUGAGAUCUCGGUAGGUUUGUAUGGAUCUGCAGAGAUCGCCCUAGGUUGGGUUGCUAUGGGAGCAGGUCUUUAACUGGAGGAGUUCUGAGAACGUUUUACCCUCUCUGGAACCAUGAGGAAAUUCUGGAGGGCAGACACGUUCUGUCUCUAGCUUAGCUCUCACUCCUUAAGGUGGGUCUGCCACCGCUGAGGUGCCCCCUUGGGUGGUCUGUGAGACUCCUGCAACAGCUCUGCACGACUUCUGGGGUCCACAGUCCAGGACAGAUGUGAAGUUUUGGCAUCAACAUAUUCUUGGGAGGCUGCGUCGUCCUAUCACAGUGAAGAAAGAAUUAUUUCGCCUCUAUGUUCCCUACAAAGUGUGGGAACUUUGUAAAGUGUGAUUCCGGGGAAAGUGCUCACAACCCUUGAAGGCCAUAUGACCAGCGAUGGAGAGCCAUGUAUGGAUUUGCCUCCGGUUUGUCUUCUCCUGAGGAAGUGGAUGCCAUGUGUCACUUUGCAGAUGGAUCAAGUGCAGGAGGUAUCCAGUUUCCAGGCAGGUUGCAUGGGAGAGAGACAGGUGUGUGUGUGCAUGCAGAGGAAAGAGAACAAAGCCCGAGGGAUCCAACUUCCAGGAAAUCUCUGCUGCGCUGGUGCAAAGGAAAAAUAACCCCUGCUCUCCUCUCAACUUAAAAAAAAUUUUCUGUUUGGUUUUGGUUUACAGAAGUCUAAAUAUUAAGCAGUUUCGUGGUGAUAAUGAUGCAGCCACAUUUUAGAUAAAUUCUUUGAACUUUUUAAAGCCCUUUGUGUUUUCCUAAUAGUUACUCAUAGAAGGGCUGGGAUAGGAAAAAUGCAGGCAGGCCAGCGCCUGCUCCUGAAUGCCCGUUUGAGCAAUCGUAUACCCUACAAAUUCAGCUCGUCACUUUUUUUUUCCUGGUGGUGGCAGCAAGAAGUUGGACGGGUUUCUGGGUACAUCUCGUCCUGUGGUGAGAUGAAUGAUUUCCUUUCAGCCUUGUAUGUUUGAAAUGGGUUCCUGACAUGGUGUCUGUGCCCUGAUGGGAGCUGCUUGUCUGUGUGAAGACAGCUAGCAGGACAC